rnacentral:rRNA from 1 species
GCUACGGGUGGCUGCAGUGAGGAAUAUUGGUCAAUGGGCUUACGCCUGAACCAGCCAAGUCGCGUGAGGGAAGACUGCCCUAUGGGUUGUAAACCUCUUUUGUCAGGGAGCAACGCCGGCUACGUGUAGCCGGACUGAGAGUACCUGAAGAAAAAGCAUCGGCUAACUCCGUGCCAGCAGCCGCGGUAAUACGGAGGAUGCGAGCGUUAUCCGGAGUUAGUGGGUUUAAAGGGUGCGGAGGCGGGAUGCCAAGUCAGCGGUAAAAUCGCGGGGCUCAACCUCGCGCCGCCGUUGAAACUGGCGUUGUUGAGUGGGUGAGAAGUAUGCGGAAUGCGUGGUGGAACGGUUGAAUGCAUAGAUAACACGCAGAACUCCGAUUGCGAAGGCAGCAUACCGGCGCCCAACUGACGCUGAAGCACGAAAGCGUGGGUAUCGAACAGGAUUAGAUACCCCAGUAGUC